CAUCUUCAAUAGGAAGCUGUUCUAAGAUCAAGUCGGUCAAGUGUUCUGGCAAGUUGUUGAUUUUAUCUUCCUCACCAUAAAUGACUUCCGUCUUUUUAUGUCUCUCUAUUAUUAGAUUCACUACAAAAAAUUAAAAAUGGGAUCAAGUAAAGCAAGAAUGUUAUUCCAUAGUUGUACGAGUGUGUCCAAGCUAGAGCAAUAUUAGCUAUACGAAAGCAAAGCUAGGCCAUACAUAAAGCAUCACAAGAAAACUUGUCUUAUGAAAUGCAUGAAGGAUGAUAACCAAACAAUUUCAGUCCAAGAUAAUGAGGUUCAGGCAUGAAUGAUGGAGGGUUUUUCAGUUAAUGGGUUCAAUGAAAACAGUUAAAAGAUAUAUGGGAAUUUAAUCGAUCAUUUACUGGGAUACAAUUUCUUUUGGGUUCAAUUUUUGUCAAUCCUAAGGAUUCUUCGUGCAUCAAUGGCUUACCCUGGCAAAACCUAACUUAAAACAACAUACAUGACCACAUAAUAUUCAGUCUACUAGCAAAAACUAGAUUAUACCAUUCAUACUUGAUGUCUUGCAAAGUUAACAACUAUUCAAUUAUCUAUGGAACGCAUGUAAUUAAUAAAAUCUUACCACAUUCGGUUUCCUGAUUUCUGUUUUCCAGUGGAUAUGUGAGGACUGACAACGACUACCCAAAACAGGGUUUACGUUUCCUACCGGAAUGAGCAAAAGAAUCUAAACAGCGUAGCUCAAACAAAAUCCCUUUGCCACACGACAUUCAAAUAAUAAAAAAAACAUGGAGGUUUAUGAAGUAGAAACUUACCCAUCGACUAAGUGGUCUAUAUUUCAGGGUAAAAUGUCGUAGAAUUGAGAACUUAGGGUUUACUGUCAGCGCCUAAAUUAAAUUCACAGUAAAUUGUUAACCCCUGUUAAACCCAUUAUUUAUAGUUUUACAUGUUAUUAGUUUGAGUAAAUUGCACGAAUGAUCCAUAUAUGGUUUAGGGUAAUAUGCAAAAGUGGUAAC
rnacentral:lncRNA from 1 species